GCGAGCGCCUGAUUCGGCCUGUCACGCCGGAGGUCGCCGGUUCGAGUCCGGUCGCUCGCG
rnacentral:tRNA from 1 species